CAUGAGGGCAGGGAAUUGCCAGGAGAUGAGGCUUCAAGUAGAAUAUGGACUAGAGCUUUCUAGACACUUUGUGUUAAACCCCAUUUCUUGCACAGGCGGUUCUUAAUUUUAUUUUAUUUUGCCAAAUCAACUUAAAUUGGAGGUUAAAAAUUGUUCAGGGUAGCUUCUACCUAAUAACUACUGGAACAUACUUUCUGGUUUUCUAGAUCAAACAUUUCUAUAAAACUUCAGACUGUUUUUGUUACAAGAGGAAGACAGGCACUUUGAUCUACAGAAGCAAGGACUGGGAUUAUUACUAUCAUCAAAGUCCUUCCCUGCACCCCUCAGGAGGUGCCAGUUCAUAUGCUCCUGGGCCUGGCAGCAGCACCUCUGGAGAUGGUGCCCCACACCCCAGCCCUACCUCCAAUAGCUCCUGGAAGCAGAUACAUCUGGCAGGACCUGACUUGACUGCAUUUCCAGGGCACCACCCAG